rnacentral:rRNA from 1 species
UGCCAUCCGCCGCGGUAAUACGGAGGGUGCAAGCGUUGCUCGGAAUCACUGGGCGUAAAGCGAACGCAGGCGGACCAAUUAGUCGGGUGUGAAAGCCCGGGGCUCAACCCCGGAACUGCAUUCGAAACUGUUGGACUCGAGUAUGGGAGAGGGAAGCGGAAUUCCUGGUGUAGAGGUGAAAUUCGUAGAUAUCAGGAGGAACACCCGUGGCGAAAGCGGCUUCCUGGCCCAAUACUGACGCUCAUUUUCGAAAGCGUGGGGAGCAAACAGGAUUAGAUA